rnacentral:rRNA from 1 species
UAGGGAAUCUUCGGCAAUGGACGAAAGUCUGACCGAGGAACGCCGCGUGAGUGAAGAAGGUUUUCGGAUCGUAAAACUCUGUUGUUAGAGAAGAACAAGGACGUUAGUAACUGAACGUCCCCUGACGGUAUCUAACCAGAAAGCCACGGCUAACUACGUGCCAGCAGCCGCGGUAAUACGUAGGUGGCAAGCGUUGUCCGGAUUUAUUGGGCGUAAAGCGAGCGCAGGCGGUUUCUUAAGUCUGAUGUGAAAGCCCCCGGCUCAACCGGGGAGGGUCAUUGGAAACUGGGAGACUUGAGUGCAGAAGAGGAGAGUGGAAUUCCAUGUGUAGCGGUGAAAUGCGUAGAUAUAUGGAGGAACACCAGUGGCGAAGGCGGCUCUCUGGUCUGUAACUGACGCUGAGGCUCGAAAGCGUGGGGAGCAAACAGG